UGCCAUGUGUCUUUGAGAACUGUCAACUGUGGAAACCUCCCUUGCUGGCCACGGAACCAAUCUUGUUGAUUGGCAAAGUUGUCACCAUUUCACUGGUAUCAGAUUCUGACUUGCAAAAAGGAACAGUU